rnacentral:rRNA from 1 species
GGGAGUACCGUCAGCAAUGAUGAAACUCAAAGGAAUUGACGGGGGCCCGCACAAGCGGAGGAACAUGUGGUUUAAUUCGAUGAUACGCGAGGAACCUUACCUGGGCUUAAAUGUAGAGUGCAUAGAGUGGAAACAUUCUUUUCCUUCGGGACUCUUUACAAGGUGCUGCAUGGCUGUCGUCAGCUCGUGCCGUGAGGUGUCGGGUUAAGUCCCAUAACGAGCGCAACCCUCAUCGCCAGUUGCCAUCACAUCAUGGUGGGGACUCUGGUGAAACUGCCGGUGCAAACCGUGAGGAAGGUGAGGAUGACGUCAAAUCAGCACGGCCCUUAUGUCCAGGGCUACACACGUGUUACAAUGGUCGGUACAACGGGCAGCUACACAGCGAUGUGGUGCUAAUCCUAAAAACCGAUCUUAGCUCGGAUCGGAGUCUGCAACUCGACUCCGUGAAGCUGGAUUCGCUAGUAAUCGCACAUCAGCCAUGGUGCGGUGAAUACGUUCCCGGGCCUUGUACACACC